rnacentral:rRNA from 1 species
GACGAACGCUGGCGGCGUGCUUAACACAUGCAAGUCGAACGGUGAACGAGGGAGCUUGCUCCCUCCGGAUCAGUGGCGAACGGGUGUGUAACACGUGAGCAAUCUGCCCCGAACUCUGGGAUAAGCGUUGGAAACGACGUCUAAUACCGGAUACGACGCGGGAGGGCAUCCUCUCCGCGUGGAAAGAACUUCGGUUCGGGAUGAGCUCGCGGCCUAUCAGCUUGUUGGUGAGGUAACGGCUCACCAAGGCGACGACGGGUAGCCGGCCUGAGAGGGUGACCGGCCACACUGGGACUGAGACACGGCCCAGACUCCUACGGGAGGCAGCAGUGGGGAAUAUUGCACAAUGGGCGCAAGCCUGAUGCAGCAACGCCGCGUGAGGGACGACGGCCUUCGGGUUGUAAACCUCUUUUAGCAGGGAAGAAGCGAAAGUGACGGUACCUGCAGAAAAAGCACCGGCUAACUACGUG